ACCAGGGUGGCGGAGCGGCAACGCGGCGGACUGCAGAUCCGCCGCACUCCGGUUCAAAUCCGGACCCUGGCU
rnacentral:tRNA from 1 species